UACAGAGGUCUCAAGCGUUGUUCGGAGUCAUUGGGCGUAAAGGGUGUGUAGGUGGCGCCGUAAGGCGGGUGUGAAAUUUCGGAGCUUAACUCCGAAACUGCAUUCGAUACUGCGGUGCUUGAGGACUGGAGAGGAGACUGGAAUUCAUGGUGUAGCAGUGAAAUGCGUAGAGAUCAUGAGGAAGACCAGUGGCGAAGGCGGGUCUCUGGACAGUUCCUGACACUGAGACACGAAGGCCAGGGGAGCAAACGGG
rnacentral:rRNA from 1 species